CAUUUAUUACGAAAGCUUCUUCAACUGAUAGCAAAACUCGUGCAGAUGAUUCUAGCCAGGUGCCAAACACAAAAUUCGAUACCAAAGCAUCUGACCUUCUUACCAACGAUUUAAAGGCCACUGGUACCGUAUGCUCAGUACAGAAAUCUUGUGACUCAAACAUCUUGUGACGACCAGCGGUGGGAAAGACUGAGAUUUAUGAAAGUUUAAUUCCAAAACAACUCUUUGAUGAUUUAUCGGCCGAACUCAAUAAAGAAGGAGCCAGACAACGCCUUGAAACUACAACAGAACUUCUUAGCAAGAGCACAGACAGCGUACAUUGAUUGUAGAUCUUGUCAAAGAUCGCCUCGCAUCGUGUAGAGAAGAUGAGGAAACUAAUAUUGAAGAUACCCGGGAUGAUGUUGAAAU